rnacentral:tRNA from 1 species
AAUAGAGAAGUAAAAUUACAUUUAGUUUCGACCUAAAAAUUUAAGAACUAUUCUUCCUAUUUU